UACAGAGGUCCCGAGCGUUGUUCGGAUUCACUGGGCGUAAAGGGUGCGUAGGUGGCAUGGUAAGUUUGAUGUGAAAGCUCAGGGCUCAACCCUGAAAUGGCAUUGAAUACUACUGUGCUGGAGGUUUGGAGGGGGGACUGGAAUUCUUGGUGUAGCAGUGAAAUGCGUAGAUAUCAAGAGGAACACCAGUGGCGAAGGCGAGUCCCUGGACAAUAUCUGACGCUGAGGCUCGAAGGCCAGGGUAGCGAAAGGG
rnacentral:rRNA from 1 species